rnacentral:rRNA from 1 species
CAGUCGCCGCGGUAAUACGAAGGGUGCAAGCGUUAAUCGGAAUUACUGGGCGUAAAGCGCGCGUAGGUGGUUCGCCAAGUUGGAUGUGAAAUCCCCGGGCUCAACCUGGGAACUGCAUCCAAAACUGGCGAGCUAGAGUAUGGUAGAGGGUGGUGGAAUUUCCUGUGUAGCGGUGAAAUGCGUAGAUAUAGGAAGGAACAUCAGUGGCGAAGGCGACCACCUGGACUGAUACUGACACUGAGGUGCGAAAGCGUGGGGAGCAAACAGGAUUAGAUACCCCUGUAGUCCCUGUCUCUUAUAC